rnacentral:rRNA from 1 species
CAAUAGCGUAUAUUAAAGUUGUUGCAGUUAAAAAGCUCGUAGUUGGAUUUCGGGGCAGCCUGGCUGGUCCGCCGCAAGGCGAGUACUGGUCAGCCGCCCUUCCUCUCGAAAGCCCCGACUGCUCUUCGUUGCAGUGGUCGGGUAGUUCGGGACGUUUACUUUGAAAAAAUUAGAGUGUUCAAGGCAGGCCUACGCCUGAAUACAUUAGCAUGGAAUAAUGGAAGAGGACCUCGGUCCUAUUUUGUUGGUUUCCAGGGCCGAAGUAAUGACUAAGAGGGACAGUUGGGGGCAUUCGUAUUUAAUUGUCAGAGGUGAAAUUCUCGGAUUUAUGAAAGACGAACAACUGCGAAAGCAUUUGCCAAGGAUGUUUUCAUUAA